AUUGAACGCUGGCGGAAUGCUUUACACAUGCAAGUCGGACGGCAGCACGGACUUCGGUCUGGUGGCGAGUGGCGAACGGGUGAGUAAUGUAUCGGAACGUGCCCAGUCGUGGGGGAUAACGUAGUGAAAAUUACGCUAAUACCGCAUACGAUCUAUGGAUGAAAGCGGGGGAUCGCAAGACCUCGCGCGAUUGGAGCGGCCGAUAUCAGAUUAGGUAGUUGGUGGGGUAAAGGCCCACCAAGCCAACGAUCUGUAGCUGGUCUGAGAGGACGACCAGCCACACUGGAACUGAGACACGGUCCAGACUCCUACGGGAGGCAGCAGUGGGGAAUUUUGGACAAUGGGCGAAAGCCUGAUCCAGCCAUUUCGCGUGCAGGAUGAAGGCCCUCGGGUUGUAAACUGCUUUUGUACAGAACGAAAAGGUUUCUACUAAUACUAGGAGCUCACGACGGUACUGUAAGAAUAAGCACCGGCUAACUACGUGCCAGCCGCCGCGGUAA
rnacentral:rRNA from 1 species